rnacentral:rRNA from 1 species
AGCUCCAAUAGCGUAUAUUAAAGUUGUUGCAGUUAAAAAGCUCGUAGUUGGAUCUCGGGUACUAGCAUGUGGUACGCAUAACUGCUGUUACUACAUGUCUGGUCCUAAUCAAUCGGUUGGCCGUUGAUGUCCUUCAUUGGGUGUUUUCGGUAGCCGGUACGUUUACUUUGAGAAAAUUAGAGUGCUUAAAGCAGGCUAUAGGCCUGAAUAAUGUUGCAUGGAAUAAUAGAAUAGGACCUCGGUUCUAUUUUGUUGGUUUUGUAGAGUAUUGAGGGAAGGAGGAAUAGGGAGAGAAGGGGGAAUUCGUAUUGAGGGGGUAGAGGUGAAAUUCUUGGAUCGCCGCAAGACGAACAACUGCGAAAGCAUUUGCCAAGAAUGUUUUCA